rnacentral:SRP_RNA from 1 species
GCUGGGAGUUGUGGCGUGCUCCUGUAAUCCAGCUACUCGGAGGCUUGGUUGGUUGGCCGGUUUGAGGAUGGGAGUCCUGGUAGUCGGUCUUCUAUGGCGAUCGGGUGUCCACGCUAAGCUCGGCAUCAAUAUGGUGCUGAAGAGGGAGCUCAUCAGGACCAGGUUGUCUAAGGAGGAUCGCUUCUGCCCAGGGCGAAAACGCAUAUAUAUAUAUAUAUAUAAUACAAAAAAUAUAUAUGCAUGUAUACCCAC